rnacentral:rRNA from 1 species
AUUGAACGCUGGCGGCAGGCCUAACACAUGCAAGUCGAGCGGAUGACGGGAGCUUGCUCCUUGAUUCAGCGGCGGACGGGUGAGUAAUGCCUAGGAAUCUGCCUGGUAGUGGGGGACAACGUUUCGAAAGGAACGCUAAUACCGCAUACGUCCUACGGGAGAAAGCAGGGGACCUUCGGGCCUUGCGCUAUCAGAUGAGCCUAGGUCGGAUUAGCUAGUUGGUGAGGUAAUGGCUCACCAAGGCGACGAUCCGUAACUGGUCUGAGAGGAUGGUGAGUCACACUGGAACUGAGACACGGUCCAGACUCCUGCGGGAGGCAGCAGUGGGGAAUAUUGGACAAUGGGCGAAAGCCUGAUCCAGCCAUGCCGCGUGUGUGAAGAAGGUCUUCGGAUUGUAAAGCACUUUAAGUUGGGAGGAAGGGCAGUAAGUUAAUACCUUGCUGUUUUGACGUUACCGGCAGAAUAAGCACCGGCUAACUCUGUGCCAGCAGCCGCCGUAAUAC